AUCGCUGCCGAUAAACUGGUUAUUUUGCAAAAACAGUGUAAAUUAUAGCUGUGGUGCGAACCCACGAAAUAUUGUGUUGAUAAAUUUAAAGACGGCAUUAAGAGAAUCUGUACAUAUAUAAAUCUCUUCUAAAAAAUCCGUAUUAGGUUAUAACAGCGGAAUAAUGAUUGUACGUACCAAUUCCAUACUUGUACUAGCUUAUAUUGUAUUAGUUAGUGGGCUUACAGAAAGCCAACGUUAUUUAGAAGCUCCAGAAGUGACAAGUGUGUCUUUGGCAGAACCAGAAGGCCUGUAUAUCCAGUGGUGGCCGGUUAGACAAAGGGACGAUGAUCCAGUAAUUGGGUACAAGAUAAGGCUUUGGGAAAUACCAGAAUCAUCAACAACUGAUAUUCAAUUAGUUAAUGCUCUCAAGUAUCCGGGGACAGUGACAAGCGAGGAAUCCUCUAAGUCAUUUUCUAUCAACAACACGGAGCCAAUUUCCAGAGAAGAGAUCGUUGGGUCUACGCACAAAGGUUUAAUAUCGGCUACAGUUAAAAUCAAAUAUAAUACGAUUUACGAAGUUCGAGUAUUGGGCUUUAAGAAGGACGUUGACGGGCCUAUGUCUUUGCCUACGAGGACCAAGGUGGUGAAAGGAAGUGGUUAUCAGGUUGUACUACAAAGGACGACAACUGGGUGUCGGAUUACAGUACCUUCAGAAGUACAAUACGAAAAUGACCCAUAUCCAUACGAACACAAUUUUAUUUUUUAAAACUAUGAUAGAAAUUAUACACAACAAUAAAACUUGUGAACUUUUAUUCAUAAACGUCAAAAAGCUUUUGUAGGGAGUGUGAUUGUUUUUAUAUAACAGCGGUUAAUAGAUGCUCAAAGCUUAUAUGACAAAAUGUGAUUACUCACAUUACACAUUACCAGAAGACUCGCAAGUGCGUUGCUGGCUUUAAUGUGGAUAUUCAACAGCU